rnacentral:rRNA from 1 species
CCUACGGGGGGCAGCAGUGGGGAAUAUUGCACAAUGGGGGAAACCCUGAUGCAGCGACGCCGCGUGAGUGAAGAAGUAAUUCGUUACGUAAAGCUCUAUCAGCAGGGAAGAAACACUGACCUUACGGUCAGCAGACGGUACCUGAGUAAGAAGCCCCGGCUAACUACGUGCCAGCAGCCGCGGUAAUAUGUAGGGGGCAAGCGUUAUCCGGAUUUACUGGGUGUAAAGGGAGCGUAGACGGUGCGCCAAGUCUGGAGUGAAAUGCCGGAGCUUAACUGCGGAACUGCCUUGGAAACUGGCGAACUAGAGUGCGGGAGGGGUAAGCGGAAUUCCUAGUGUAGCGGUGAAAUGCGUAGAUAUUAGGAGGAACACCGGUGGCGAAGGCGGCUUACUGGACCGUAACUGACGUUGAGGCUCGAAAGCGUGGGGAGCAAACAGGAUUAGAUACCCCUGUAGUC